rnacentral:misc_RNA from 1 species
UCGGUGCAUUCUGGGGAUUGUUUCUUGCUUUUUGUUGCUUGCUUGGCAUUUUUGCCAAGUGAGUGGCUUUUAGCCGAGCGGUCUUCGGGGAUGUUGUCCGUUAAGUUGCAUGAGUGGUUUUUGGUUUGUCAUGGAUGGUUGGAUGUCUGCUUGUGCAGCAACUUCCAUGCAUGCUUACCUCUUCAAUUGUGCUACAAGACUUGUUUGGCUUGUAGCAUUAAGUGGGUUUUCUGUGUUGCAUACCAAAUAGAUGGCAUUGUUCGGCCCUAAUGAAGCUUGAUUUUGUAACAUGAUGCUUGCAGCGUGUUACGAACCCUAAAGUGGCCUCUGUUGUUCAUCCUAUCAAAUUCUCUUUUUUGAUGGCAUGGCCUGUGGAGUGUUGCUUGGUCUCUUGGAUAUGGAACAUAAUGUGGGCACAUUGUCUUCACUGAUAAUGUCUUUGCCCUAACUGAGCGUUCAAGAUGACUGUCCACUAUGCAGACCGAUUGGUGUAUAUUGGAUAUUGUC